GAUCAUGGCUCAGGAUGAACGCUAGCUACAGGCUUAACACAUGCAAGUCGAGGGGCAUCAGGAAGAAAGCUUUGCUUUACUUUGCUGGCGACCGGCGCACGGGUGAGUAACACGUAUCCAACCUACCCGUUUACUCGGGGAUAGCCUUUCGAAAGAAAGAUUAAUACCCGAUGGCAUAAUGAUUCCGCAUGGUUUCAUUAUUAAAGGAUUCCGGUAAAGGAUGGGGAUGCGUUCCAUUAGGUUGUUGGUGAGG
rnacentral:rRNA from 1 species